UACAUGGGGUGCAAACGUUGCUCGGAAUUAUUGGGCGUAAAGCGCACGUAGGCGGUCCGUUAAGUCAGAUGUGAAAGCCCCCGGCUCAACCGUGGAAGUGCACUCGAAACUGCGUAGCUAGAGUCCUGGAGAGGAAGGUGGAAUGCUUGGUGUAGAGGUGAGAUUCGUAGAUAUCAAGCGGAACACCGGUGGCGAAGGCGGCCUUCUGGACAGUGACUGACGCUGAGACGCGAAAGCGUGGGGAGCGAACCGG
rnacentral:rRNA from 1 species